AACGAACGCUGGCGGCAGGCCUAACACAUGCAAGUCGAGCGAGGACUUCGGUUCUAGCGGCGGACGGGUGAGUAACGCGUGGGAAUGUGCCCUUCUCUACGGAAUAGCCCUGGGAAACUGGGAGUAAUACCGUAUACGCCCUAUUGGGGAAAGAUAUAUCGGAGAAGGAUCAGCCCGCGUUGGAUUAGGUAGUUGGUGGGGUAAUGGCCUACCAAGCCGACGAUCCAUAGCUGGUUUGAGAGGAUGAUCAGCCACACUGGGACUGAGACACGGCCCAGACUCCUACGGGAGGCAGCAGUGGGGAAUCUUAGACAAUGGGGGCAACCCUGAUCUAGCCAUGCCGCGUGAGUGAUGAAGGCCUUAGGGUUGUAAAGCUCUUUCAGCUGGGAAGAUAAUGACGGUACCAGCAGAAGAAGCCCCGGCUAACUCCGUG
rnacentral:rRNA from 1 species